rnacentral:misc_RNA from 1 species
GGUUAAUGAAAAACCGAAAUUUCAUUUUUUUUAUUGCCAAACCUGUUUUGACCUGUAAAUUGCAUAUUUGCAUUUGUUCACACUUCAUACUAUACAAUUCAUAUGAAAUCAAUUGGGUAGCAUCAAAUAAACAAUCACUUUAAUAAAAUGCCACUAUGCCAAAUAAACCAUAAAAUAAAUAAAAGUAUAAAACCACUAAAUCAAAUAAUAAUCCAAGCACCAAAUGCCAAACUAUAAAACAAAACAUAAUUGAAAUAAAAGCUAAAAUAACGACAACCAUACUCUAAAUACAAUUUAGUUCAGUUUUCAUUAAAAUCCAUAAAACAACAUAAUAAUAAAUUACCAAAUCUCCAACUAGAUAAAAAUUAAAUACAGUCCAUAUUAAAAUCCAUCAAAUAACAACAGAAUUAAACAUAAUAUUAAAAUCCAUCAAAUUUCCAACAAUUUGAUUUUGAGCAGUCUGACCAAAUCCAAAAACAUCCUCAAAUAAGGAGGCAGCAGCUUUUGGUAACCUGCACAAACAAUGUAAUAUAAAAAAAAGAUAAUCAAUAUAUAAUAAGUAAUGAAAGCAUAAAACAAUAUAAAACUUUAGACAAUCAAACUUACAUCUAAGAGUUAAGGGUAGGAGUUGAACAACUUGAUUCCCGUAAUUGGGUUAGGCCAACACUUGGUAGUACUGAAAAUUGAAUUAUAUAAUGGAAAAAAAAAAUCAAUCCAUAUUGAAAUGAAAAUAUUAAAAGAUAAAAAUGAUCUAAAUACAUGUAUUUAUUGCAUACCCUUUUCAAGCUUUACAAGUUUCUCUAAAUCUUCCUCAACAUUUAUUGGACAAUUUGAGGAACGUAUCCAAUCUUGUGCACAUAUCAAAACCUCCACAAUUCUGAGAGUUAAAGAACUCCUAAAGAGAUCUAGUACUCUCCCACCAGUACUGAAAGCACUAUCUGAUGCAACAGUUGAAACUGAGACUACCAAUAUGUCUCUUGCCAUUUUUCCAAGGAUAGGAAAUCUCUCAGAAUUGAUUUUCCACCAUUCCAAGAGAUCAAACUCUUCCUUGUCCUCUUGAAUUGCCUCAUUGAGAUACACUUCCAACUUUGUUUUUGAAUCUAAACCUCCAUUUUUUUCUAACUUUUACUUCUUGUAGUGAUGCUUCAAGUACAAUUUGGGCUUCAGAUUUAUUGUACUACCAUUACCAUUUAAGAGCUGUGAGCUCGUGUUAUCACUUGUUUGCUCACAAUCAGUUUAGUACAUUUUCUUGUACUCGUUAAAUAAGUCAAUCAAAGAUGACCUCACCUUUUGGAACAACUACUCACUCUUUUCUUCACCAUGCAUUUGACAAAAUUGAAACUCCAUAUACUCAAAUUUAUCACGAGGGUCAAGAACAACAACAAAAUAAAUCAAUUUAUUCAUUUUAUCUAUAUCCCCCCAGUACUUGUCAAAUUUUUUCUUCAUUUUGUUCCCCAUAUUUUUCACCUCAAUAUCAGUGUUAUCCACCCAUUGAUUCAAGAUAAAAGCCAAGUUACUUAUCUCACCAAAAAAACAUGUUAGAUGUGACAUACCGAGAACCAGAAAUACGUAAAGUAAGCUCAUAAAAAUGAGAUAACAUUUUAGCCAUUUUCCUACACUCAAACCAAUCAUGAAAAUCAGGCACCCCAUCCUCUCCCAAUUCAAGCCUAAACAUAGGUUCUUGUGACUCAUACCUCUCGAAUGCCCUUUUAUAUUUUUGAGCUGUAUUCAACAUCAAGUAAGUUGAAUUCCACCUAGUUGACACAUCUAAACACAACCAUCAAUUUUUUCAUAUGCAACACACUCCUUAAACUUUUUCAACCUAGCUGGAGAACUCCUAAUGUAUCUCACUGCAUUUCUUACUUUCAACACUGACUCACCAACAUCUUUUAAGCCAUCCAUGACAACCAAAUUAACUAUGUGUGCCAUACAUCUCAUAUGAAGGUAAUCAGAAUUAGAAAUAGUAACAACCCAAUUUGCAAGCUUUUUUUUGAAAUAAGAAAUGGCUAUAUCAUUUGAACUAGCAUUGUCAACUGUAUUGGUGAAUAUCUUAUCUAGCCCCCACUCUAGCAAACAAGUUUCAAUAGCUCUACCAAUUGCAUCACCUUUAUGACUUGUAAUAGGACAAAAAUUAAUGAUUUUCUUAUGUAACUUCCAAUCAUUAUCAAUGAAAUGAGCAAUGAUACACAUAUAAUUAAUUUGUUGUAAUGAUGUCCAUGUAUCCGUAGUAAGACUCACCCUUUGACAAUUUCUCUUCGAAUAAGACUUCAAUUUUGACCUCUCCUCAACAUACACUGAAUAACAAUCUCGUGAAAUAGUCCAACGAGAGGGAAUCUUAAACUUAGGACAUAUAGCUCUCAUAAAUUUUCGAAAUCCCUCAUCUUCUACAAAUUUAAAUGUCAACUCAUCAAUGAUAAUCAUGGAAACAAGAGCCUCCCUAAUUGCAUUUUCAUCAUAUUUUCAAGUAGUAAGUGUGCCUACUUCACCUUCUACAUUGUUUGAAUUUGGUUGCAAAUCCAAUAGUGCUUGCCUAGUCUCAAUGGCAUGUGGAUGCUUUUUGCAAAUAUUCAUAUGAUUCCUACGUGCAGUGGUUCCAUUUCUCUCGGGAUCACAAUAAAAUUCUUUAUUACAAUAAUUACACUUGCCUUUGGUGUCGCCAUCAUCAGUUUUAAACUUGGUGAAGUGAUCCCAAACUGUAGACCUUGGCCUGAUUGGCUUUCUAUUCACUUUUGAUUUUGAACUUGUUGCAGUUUCUUAUUCACUUUGAUUGGAAUCAGUUGUAUUUAUUGGAUCAUUUUGCCUGUUAGAACUAGAAUCCAUGUUCAGAUAUAUGAUAUAUCAAGGUCUUCAAUGGAUGAACAAAGUUUUUAGGAUCUGGACUGAUGAAAAACAGCUUUGGCAAACCUCUAAC